CCUACGGGAGGCAGCAGUAGGGAAUAUUGCACAAUGGGCGAAAGCCUGAAGGAGCAACACCGCGUGAGGGAAGAAGGGUUUCGGCUCGUAAAGCUCUGUUGUUGGAGAAGAAAGUGCGUGAGAGUAACUGUUCACGCAGGGACGGUAUCCAACCAGAAAGUCACGGCUAACUACGUGCCAGCAGCCGCGGUAAUACGUAGGUGGCAAGCGUUAGCCGGAUGUAUUGGGCGUAAAGCGAGCGCAGGCGGUUGCUUAGGUCUGAUGUGAAAGCCUUUGGCUUAACCGGAGAAGUGCAUCGGAAACCGGGAGACUUGAGUGCAGGAGAGGUAAGUGGAACUCCAUGUGUAGCGGUGGAAUGCGUAGAUAUCUGGAAGAACACCAGUGGCGAAGGCGGCUGUCUGGUCUGCAACUGACGCUGAGGCUCGAAAGCGUGGGUAGCGAACAGGAUUAGAUACCCGGGUAGUC
rnacentral:rRNA from 1 species